rnacentral:rRNA from 1 species
UUGAUACUAAGCCAUGCGAGUCAUUGUAGUAAUACAAGGCAGACGGCUCAGUAACGCGUAGUCAAUCUACCCUAUGGACGGGAAUAACCUCGGGAAACUGAGAAUAAUGCCCGAUAGAACACUAUGCCUGGAAUGGUUUGUGUUCCAAAUGAUUUAUCGCCGUAGGAUGGGACUGCGGCCUAUCAGUUUGUUGGUGAGGUAAUGGCCCACCAAGACUAUUACAGGUACGGGCUCUGAGAGGAGUAGCCCGGAGAUGGGUACUGAGACACGGACCCAGGCCCUAUGGGGCGCAGCAGGCGAGAAAACUUUGCAAUGUGCGAAAGCACGACAAGGUUAAUCCGAGUGGUUUCUGCUAAAGAAACCUUUUGUCGGUCCUAGAAACACCGAUGAAUAAGGGGUGGGCAAGUUCUGGUGUCAGCCGCCGCGGUAAAACCAGCACCUCAAGUGGUCAGGAUGAUUAUUGGGCCUAAAGCAUCCGUAGCCCGCUUUGUUAGUUUUCGGUUAAAUCUGUGCGCUUAACGUACAGGCUGCCGGAAAUACUGCAAAGCUAGGGAGUGGGAGAGGUAGACGGUACUCGGUAGGAAGGGGUAAAAUCCUUUGAUCUAUUGAUGACCACCUGUGGCGAAGGCGGUCUACCAGAACACGUCCGACGGUGAGGGAUGAAAGCUGGGGGAGCAAACCGGAUUAGAUACCCGGGUAGUCCCAGCUGUAAACUAUGCAAACUCAGUGAUGCAUUGGCUUGUGGCCAAUGCAGUGCUGCAGGGAAGCCGUUAAGUUUGCCGCCUGGGAAGUACGUACGCAAGUAUGAAACUUAAAGGAAUUGGCGGGGGAGCAC